rnacentral:rRNA from 1 species
GUGCCAGCAGCCGCGGUAAUACGAAGGGGGCUAGCGUUGCUCGGAAUUACUGGGCGUAAAGGGAGCGUAGGCGGACAUUUAAGUCAGGGGUGAAAUCCCGGGGCUCAACCUCGGAAUUGCCUUUGAUACUGGGUGUCUUGAGUAUGAGAGAGGUGUGUGGAACUCCGAGUGUAGAGGUGAAAUUCGUAGAUAUUCGGAAGAACACCAGUGGCGAAGGCGACACACUGGCUCAUUACUGACGCUGAGGCUCGAAAGCGUGGGGAGCAAACAGGAUUAGAU